rnacentral:rRNA from 1 species
AUUGAACGCUGGCGGCAGGCCUUACACAUGCAAGUCGAACGAGUGGCGGACGGGUGAGUAAUAUAUGGGAAACUGCCUAAUGGCGGGGGAUAACUACUGGAAACGGUAGCUAAUACCGCAUACCAUCAGAUCGGCCCAGAUGGGAUUAGCUAGUUGGUGGGGUAACGGCUCCCCAAGGCAACGAUCCCUAGCUGGUCUGAGAGGAUGACCAGCCACACUGGAACUGAGACACGGGCCAGACUCCUACGGUAGGCAGCAGUGGGGAAUAUUGCACAAUGGGCGAAAGCCUGAUGAAGCCAUGCCGCGUGUAUGAAGAAGGCCUUCGGGUUGUAAAGUACUUUCAGCGGGGAGGCGUUACCCGCAGAAGAAGCACCGGCUAACUACGUGCCAGCAGCCGCGGUAAUUC